rnacentral:rRNA from 1 species
AUUGAACGCUGGCGGCAGGCUUAACACAUGCAAGUCGAACGAUGAUUAUCUAGCUUGCUAGAUAUGAUUAGUGGCGGACGGGUGAGUAACAUUUAGGAAUCUGCCUAGUAGUGGGGGAUAGCUCGGGGAAACUCGAAUUAAUACCGCAUACGACCUACGGGUGAAAGGGGGCGCAAGCUCUUGCUAUUAGAUGAGCCUAAAUCAGAUUAGCUAGUUGGUGGGGUAAAGGCCCACCAAGGCGACGAUCUGUAACUGGUCUGAGAGGAUGAUCAGUCACACCGGAACUGAGACACGGUCCGGACUCCUACGGGAGGCAGCAGUGGGGAAUAUUGGACAAUGGGGGCAACCCUGAUCCAGCCAUGCCGCGUGUGUGAAGAAGGCCUUUUGGUUGUAAAGCACUUUAAGCAGGGAGGAGAGGCUAAUGGUUAAUACCCAUUAGAUUAGACGUUACCUGCAGAAUAAGCACCGGCUAACUCUGUGCCAGCAGCCGCGGUAAUACAGAGGGUGCGAGCGUUAAUCGGAAUUACUGGGCGUAAAGCGAGUGUAGGUGGCUCAUUAAGUCACAUGUGAAAUCCCCGGGCUUAACCUGGGAACUGCAUGUGAUACUGGUGGUGCUAGAAUAUGUGAGAGGGAAGUAGAAUUCCAGGUGUAGCGGUGAAAUGCGUAGAGAUCUGGAGGAAUACCGAUGGCGAAGGCAGCUUCCUGGCAUAAUAUUGACACUGAGAUUCGAAAGCGUGGGUAGCAAACAGGAUUAGAUACCCUGGUAGUCCACGCCGUAAACGAUGUCUACUAGCCGUUGGGGUCCUUGAGACUUUAGUGGCGCAGUUAACGCGAUAAGUAGACCGCCUGGGGAGUACGGCCGCAAGGUUAAAACUCAAAUGAAUUGACGGGGGCCCGCACAAGCGGUGGAGCAUGUGGUUUAAUUCGAUGCAACGCGAAGAACCUUACCUGGUCUUGACAUAGUGAGAAUCCUGCAGAGAUGCGGGAGUGCCUUCGGGAAUUCACAUACUGGUGCUGCAUGGCUGUCGUCAGCUCGUGUCGUGAGAUGUUGGGUUAAGUCCCGCAACGAGCGCAACCCUUUUCCUUAUUUGCCAGCGGGUUAAGCCGGGAACUUUAAGGAUACUGCCAGUGACAAACUGGAGGAAGGCGGGGACGACGUCAAGUCAUCAUGGCCCUUACGACCAGGGCUACACACGUGCUACAAUGGUAGGUACAGAGGGUUGCUACACAGCGAUGUGAUGCUAAUCUCAAAAAGCCUAUCGUAGUCCGGAUUGGAGUCUGCAACUCGACUCCAUGAAGUCGGAAUCGCUAGUAAUCGCAGAUCAGAAUGCUGCGGUGAAUACGUUCCCGGGCCU